rnacentral:rRNA from 1 species
GACGAACGCUGGCGGCGUGCUUAACACAUGCAAGUCGAACGGAAAGGCCCUGCUCUUGUGGGGUGCUCGAGUGGCGAACGGGUGAGUAACACGUGAGUAACCUGCCCUUGACUUUGGGAUAACUUCAGGAAACUGGGGCUAAUACCGGAUAGGAGCUCCUGCUGCAUGGUGGGGGUUGGAAAGUUUCGGCGGUUGGGGCUGGACUCGCGGCUUAUCAGCUUGUUGGUGGGGUAGUGGCUUACCAAGGCUUUGACGGGUAGCCGGCCUGAGAGGGUGACCGGCCACAAUGGGACUGAGAUACGGCCCAGAAGCCUACGGGAGGCAGCAGUGGGGAAUAUUGCACAAUGGGCGGAAGCCUGAUGCAGCAACGCCGCGUGCGGGAUGACGGCCUUCGGGUUGUAAACCGCUUUCGCCUGUGACGAAGCGUGAGUGACGGUAAUGGGUAAAGAAGCACCGGCUAACUACGUG